rnacentral:lncRNA from 1 species
AGAUCCACAAUCAUUACUGCACCGGGCCCUGUUGCCUAUUUAAACCCACUCCCCCCUUCCAGGGAUUUCACUUUGCCUGAGAGUCCUGUUGGUGCCCUUCUUCUUCCCCGAGAGCUCCAUCCCUUUCGGCCUUAGGCGUUCUUCGAGUCGAUCCCCAUCUCUACAUCUCUGCACUUCUCGGACCAGUCUAGGUUAGUUCCAGAACUCCCCUCUUCAUUUUUUCUUUUACUGUUCU